rnacentral:rRNA from 1 species
UGCAGUCGACGGCAGCACGGGGGCAACCCUGGUGGCGAGUGGCGAACGGGUGAGUAAUACAUCGGAACGUGUCCUGUAGUGGGGGAUAGCCCGGCGAAAGCCGGAUUAAUACCGCAUACGCUCUACGGAGGAAAGGGGGGGAUCUUAGGACCUCUCGCUACAGGGGCGGCCGAUGGCAGAUUAGCUAGUUGGUGGGGUAAAGGCCUACCAAGGCGACGAUCUGUAGCUGGUCUGAGAGGACGACCAGCCACACUGGGACUGAGACACGGCCCAGACUCCUACGGGAGGCAGCAGUGGGGAAUUUUGGACAAUGGGGGCAACCCUGAUCCAGCAAUGCCGCGUGUGUGAAGAAGGCCUUCGGGUUGUAAAGCACUUUUGUCCGGAAAGAAAACCUCUGCCCUAAUACGGUGGGGGGAUGACGGUACCGGAAGAAUAAGCACCGGCUAACUACGUGCCAGCAGCCGCGGUAAUACGUAGGGUGCAAGCGUUAAUCGGAAUUACUGGGCGUAAAGCGUGCGCAGGCGGUCCGCUAAGACAGAUGUGAAAUCCCCGGGCUUAACCUGGGAACUGCAUUUGUGACUGGCGGGCUAGAGUAUGGCAGAGGGGGGUAGAAUUCCACGUGUAGCAGUGAA